rnacentral:lncRNA from 1 species
GAAAGCCCGGAUUUCCUGUGGCAGAGCCUGGCUCCCAGAACCUGGAGCUGGCCCCCCGCAGGACUGAGGCCUUGCCUGGGAGUGGGAGCUAGAGUCCUUGGAGCUGGAGUUCAUAUGUCAUUCGUUACACCCAAUAGCGUGUGUGUGUGUGUGUGUGUGUGUGUGUGUGUGUGUGCAUUCAUGAGGCUAAGGGUGCAGUCGUUGAAGACGAGAUAACAUGGAAGAGCCAGGGCUGUGACAGUUAGGGCUCUGCUGGGCAUCAGCUCCUGCUAUGAGCUUGAAGCAUUCCCACCUCCCACCUCCAGAUAACCUCAGCGGAGCCGCGCCCGGGCUGGCCAGGCCUGGGGCCGCAUUGGAGCCGCGGGGGACCGAGCCAGUUUCUUUCCUCUUCUCCUUGGUGCCCCAUGACUGGUGGGAGGGUAAGGUAACCAGCCCCCCUGGGAAGCCCCGCCCUGGAGCCAUGGCAGCCACAGAGUGCCUGGGUGUCCAGCUGCCUGGCUGCUGGGACCACUGACUCAGGCCAGAGAGGAAGCCUCCUGCAUACCUCCUCAGAUAGAGGGCAGGGGCCCUGGGGGAGGCACCUAUACCUUGGGGAUCCCCUACAUCCACCUCUCCUGUUACUUGCCCUUCUCCUGAGACUCGCCCUGGGAGGACGCUGGGGCUCCUGGGGGGGUCUCCCCCCCAGAUCUGUCCACAUACAUUCUCACCGUCCGCCCUUGGGAGUCAGGGGGGCGGCUGGGGACCACCCCAAACCUGGCAGUGCCAGGAUGUUGUCCCCGAUGCUGGGUCCUCACCAGCAGCCCCACCCCAGGGCCCAACC